rnacentral:rRNA from 1 species
UACGUAGGGGGCGAGCGUUGUCCGGAAUUAUUGGGCGUAAAGGGCUCGUAGGCGGUCUGUCACGUCGGGAGUGAAAACACGGGGCUUAACCCCGUGCCUGCUUCCGAUACGGGCAGACUAGAGGUAUGCAGGGGAGAACGGAAUUCCUGGUGUAGCGGUGAAAUGCGCAGAUAUCAGGAGGAACACCGGUGGCGAAGGCGGUUCUCUGGGCAUUACCUGACGCUGAGGAGCGAAAGUGUGGGGAGCGAACAGG